rnacentral:rRNA from 1 species
CGCCGCGGUCACACAAGAGGCCCAAAUUAACAGAAAUUCGGCGUAAAGAGUGGUUACAUGCUAUCUCCACAACUAGGGCCAAAAUACAGCUGAGCUGUCAUAAGCUUAAACUGCACCUAAGACCCCCCUCAAGAUGACCCUAGCACACACGAUCCAUUAAACCCCACCAAAGCUAGGGCC